GCUUGUGACCAUAACAACCCUGGCUAUGCAUGAUCUCGUCUGCUCUCGGAAGCUAAGCAGGUUUGGGCCUGGUUGGUACUUAGAUGGGAGACUGCCUGGGAAUACCAGGUGCUUUAAGCU
rnacentral:rRNA from 1 species